AGAUGAUGUUGUCUGCUCUCCUGCUGACACCUUUGUUCACCUGGACAGUGCUGUUUUCUCCAGGAACGGCUGUUAAAGUCAUCCCACCAUGUGACCAGAACAGUUUCUAUUUCGACGUUCAGGACUGCAGAUCCGAUUUCAACAGCAGCAUGGAGACGAGCGGCUAUCAGGAAAAAUGCCCAUGGCCUGAUGUGAAACUCCUGUACAACAAACUGAAGACGUGUGUGGACGAGUCGGCGAAGAGGACCUUGUGCAAUGGUUACAUGUUUAUGGUGGACGAGGUCUUCUUCAAGGUCCACCAGACGUACUUUCCCCUCUGCAGACAUGCCCACGAUCCCUCACUCCGUACUCUCCUCAUGUUGAUAACUCCUACUGUGGUUAUCACACUCUUUCUGCCCUUUCUGUGUGUUCACCUCACCACUUGGAACACAGGAGCUCUCUAGAGCCUUUUGGAUGUGAAAGUGAGACACUUUGAACCCGUAUGAGAAUACUAAUUUUUUGCUAUUUUUUUUACAACAUUAAUUUCUUGGAAAUAUGCUCGCAAACAAAAAAAGUCCUUAAAGUUUUCUACAUGAGCGACCUGGAUGUUCCUGUGCUAGUCAUGUUUUCUUUCUUUGGGGAUUAAAGAAGUAAUUUAAACAGUAACCUAAUGUGGGACUGGGAGUUAUACACCAGUAUUUCUCAAUGCCCCCCCCCCCUCCCACUUUGAAAAAUGAAGGGAGGCGCUACAGAUCCAACAAAGCAAAUGAGUCAAAAGUGCAACGAUUAUUCUCUCUUAAUGCAGUGAAGCCGUUUAUCUGAGAUUUACCCAGAAUGCCUUGAACAUUUUCUAAUAGUUAAAUACAUGUUAUGACAAUGACACCAAUAUCAAAGACAAAAUGCAGUUAAAUUCCUUUUUAAGGAUCUUUCAGGAGUUUGUUAAUAAUGUUCGAUCACAGACAUUCAUAGUUACGUUCCCUCAAUGCAGGGAAGUCAAUGCUUUGGGGAUUACCCACAAUUCCUUGCUACUCAUACUACUGACUACAGGUAGAGACCAAACAGCAGAGGGUGCUGUCGCUCCUUUUAGACUUCCUUAUAACGUCCACGCUGACUUCUUUAAGUCUGUUACACCUGCGCCGUAUCUUCCCGACAAACACAAAAGCGUCAUUUUCUGUUCCACACCCGACUGAAAGCUGGAGAUCCAGGUGUGUUAAACAGUUUUCGUCUCAUUUUAAAAUUUUGUGUUUGUGCCAAGGUUAUAGAAAAACUGGUUAAUGAGCAGCUUAAAGAACAUUUGUGUGCAGCCAGUAUCUAUUCCUGUGAUUAAUCUGGGAUCAGGAGACACAUUACAGUAACAGCCAACAUUAAAAUUGUAAAUGGCAUUGCUGAAGCCUUGGAUGCUAAUCACGACUGUGCUGCUUUUUUCAUUGACGCCGUUGAUCACACUAUCCUUUGUCAAACACUGUCUAUUGUUUAUUAAAUAAUGCUGGUUUUCUAA